UAUUUUAAAGUAAAUAACCUCCUUAAUAUCUUCAAUAUCAUGCUCUAAUAAGCUAUUAAAAU
rnacentral:tRNA from 1 species